CAUCUUGUUGCUCAGAGACAAUCUUUGGAGCGACUCUCCUCUUUGACUGGCAGUCAAGGAAAUCUGCCUGGAAACAGAGGAAAAUUACCCCGGAAACGCCAGAAAGAGAAGAGCCUCGAAGGCAACGCGGCGUCGAUUAGGUGUCAGUGAUGGGUGGAGACCAGAGCCACGAGAGGAAGGCGGAGGAGAGCAGAGAGAAGACGGAGGAACAACAGGACACAUCAGUUUCUGCUGCUCCUGAUGGUCAGACUGGAGAUCUGCCCCAGUGCAGGAUGGGAAACAAGCAAGUGGACAACAUGUGUUUCAUGAUCUCGUGCACCAACUGGUACUAAAUGCCGUUCCAGAGCAGUAGCUUCUUCAUCUGUGGAGCAGAAGAACUGAUGAUGAAACACAGAUGAAGAUGAGGCUCAUCCACUUCCUGGACCAGAGGAAACAUGGUCCAGAAAGAUGGCAAACAUCUGAAAUUCUUCAGGAGAAGAUCUUUCUGGAAGGACAACCUAAUUUCUUCUACCUUCUCUGUGCAGCAGCACGAAGAGGUUUUUACUCGUCAGACGUUACCGUGAUUUAAUCCAGUUUAACAAUGAGAGCCUCUCUCUCGCCUUUCGUCACCUUCAAAGUAUUUGUUUAAACAUUGUGAACAUCCAUC